rnacentral:rRNA from 1 species
GAUGAACGCUGGCGGCGUGCCUAACACAUGCAAGUCGAGCGAACCCUUCGGGGUGAGCGGCGGACGGGUGAGUAACGCGUGGGUAACCUGCCCUGUACACACGGAUAACAUACCGAAAGGUAUGCUAAUACGAGAUAAUAUAUUUUAAUCGCAUGGUUAAGAUAUCAAAGCUCCGGCGGUACAGGAUGGACCCGCGUCUGAUUAGCUAGUUGGUGAGGUAAUGGCUCACCAAGGCGGCGAUCAGUAGCCGACCUGAGAGGGUGAUCGGCCACACUGGAACGGGGGCACGGUCCAGACUCCUACGGGAGGCAGGCGUGGGGAACAUUGCACAAUGGGCGAAAGCCUGAUGCAGCAACGCCGCGUGAGCGAUGAAGGCCUUCGGGUCGUAAAGCUCUGUUCUCAAGGAAGAUAAUGACGGUACUUGAGGAGGAAGCCCCGGCUAACUACGUGCCAGCCGCCGCAGUAA